rnacentral:rRNA from 1 species
GUCGCUCCUACCGAUUGAGUGAUCCGGUGAAUUAUUCGGACUGAUGCAGUGCUCAGCUUCUGGACGUUGCGUUGGAAAGUUUCAUGAACCUUAUCACUUAGAGGAAGGAGAAGUCGUAACAAGGUUUCCGU